AGCAGAUCUCAUGGCGCUGCAGUCUCAGCAGCACUGGCUCCCUCCAGCCCUGAGUGCCAACAGGCAAACUUUGCUGAUUUGGAAACUGCCAGCCCAGUACUGAGUCUAUGAUGGACUGGCUUCAUUCAAUAUCUAGAGUUUUCCUCUCCCUAUCUAACACUUUCCUCAUUUUUCUCCUUAUUAGGACAUCUCCUGGAUAAUUACUACAUUUGUUUUCCCUAGUGAUUGCUAGGUAUUUCCUAACAUCACUUUAAUGCUCCUGUUUGUUGAAAGUGUCUUGUCCCCUGGAUAUCCUGGGUCCUUGCUGGUAAAGAGGAAGGCCAGGCUGGCAAGUAUACAGACCCCUAAAGAGAGGGGCACAGAGAAUGAAUUCUGUUCUCAGCCCUCCUUCAGACUUACUGGGAACCUGCUCAAACCUAGUAACCGCAGUGCGCUUUGGAUCCGGCUUUGUAUAUGCAUAUGUAUAGUCAACAGCAAAGAAGAAUUUGUGCCCUUCUCUCGUGAACGGCGAGUAGGGGCUUUGGACGCAGUGGCCGGGACGUAGAGGAGCCAUACUGGGGCCCAAACUAGCUCAGACAAAAUAUCCACCUAGCCCAGUAUGUGCACUAGUCACCAGCAGUAGUUGGUAUGGAAAACGUUUCUGAAGUAGGAUAAAUGUGGAACGACCCUUCUCCAGGUGUAUCUUCUCAGAGCUGCAGGCCCUCCUGUUUGGUAAGGUGUGGAGGCCCUUCAGUCCCUGCACUGCCCAGCGCUGCGAUGAAGCCACCACUGCCCAGCGCUGCAAUGAAGCCACCCUGCGAUGAGGCCACCAAUGCCCAGCGCGGCAAUGAGGCCACCCUGCGAUGAAGCCACCACUGCCCGGUGCUGCAGUGAAGCCACUGCUGCCUGGCACUGCGAUGAAGCCAUCCUGCAAUGAAGCCACCACUGCCCAGUGCUGCAGUGAAGCCAUCACUGCCUGGUGCUGCAAUGAAGCCACCCUAUGAUGAGGGCACCAAUGCCGAGUGCUGCGAUGAAGCCACUGCAGCCUGGCACUGAGAUGAAGCCACCCUGUGAUGAGGCCACCACUGCCCAGCGCUGCGAUGAGGCCACCACCACCUGACACUGUGAUGAAGCCACCCUGCGAUGACGCCACCACUGCCCGGCGCUGCGAUGAAGUCGCUUCCUGGGCCAGCGGCUGCCAGAAACACGUCUAGCAGGCACUGGUGAGACUUGCUGCCAGGAGAGGUCCAGCACUCGCAAACCUAGGUGUGUUUUCGUCCUCACAACCUCUGGUGGCAGUAAGGUUCACCAUUUAACUGUACCCUCUGUGGCAGGAAAAAAAAAUCUUUCCGUUUAUUGUAAAUCUGUUACCUGGGGUGACUGCAUCUGCUGAAGUUACCUGACUGCUGCGUGCUUCGUUUGCUGCUCCCCCAGCUCUUGCGUUACAAGCAGCGGGGGAAGCCCCGCUCGCCGCCUUGACACCGGUCCCCACGAGAGAGCCGCACGGUGGCCAAUGGUGCCGCCAGGGCUGCCUGAUGCCUGAGCUGCUUUAAUGGUUUUGGCCA
rnacentral:lncRNA from 1 species